GACGAACGCUGGCGGCGUGCUUAACACAUGCAAGUCGAACGAUGAAGCUGGAGCUUGCUCCGGUGGAUUAGUGGCGAACGGGUGAGUAACACGUGAGAAAUCUGCCCUUGACUCUGGGAUAACUGCGGGAAACUGUAGCUAAUACCGGAUAUUUUCCUUGGUGGGCAUCCACUGGGGAAGAAAGAAUUUCGGUCAAGGAUGAUCUCGCGGCCUAUCAGCUAGUUGGUGAGGUAAUGGCUCACCAAGGCGACGACGGGUAGCCGGCCUGAGAGGGGGACCGGCCACACUGGGACUGAGACACGGCCCAGACUCCUACGGGAGGCGGCAGUGGGGAAUAUUGCACAAUGGGGGCAAGCCUGAUGCAGCAACGCCGCGUGAGGGAUGAAGGCCUUCGGGUUGUAAACCUCUUUUAGCAGGGAAGAAGCGAAAGUGACGGUACCUGCAGAAAAAGCACCGGCUAACUACGUGCCAGCAGCCGCCGUAA
rnacentral:rRNA from 1 species